AUGCAUGCAGAUGGAAGGGUUAAUCCCCUUUAGAUCGGUUACGGACCAUCCAAUUGCAUGUUUGUGUUCCCCUAGCACACUCAAAAGUUGACUUUCCUGUUUGUCCGACAGGUCAGCCGCGAUGAUUAUAGGUAGGAUGUCUUUUGGUCCUAGAAAAGCAUACUUAAGCGUUACCGGAAGUGGCUUUAACUCAAGUUUGGGAGGGGACUCGAUGGAGGGGCACUGUGGCGCACUAGAAAGGGUAGGAAGAGGUUCAUAUCGGAUUUGCCAAGGA
rnacentral:lncRNA from 1 species